rnacentral:rRNA from 1 species
GGCAGCAGUGGGGUAUAUUGGACAAUGGGCGCAAGCCUGAUCCAGCAAUACCGCGUGUGUGAAGAAGGCCUUAGGGUUGUAAAGCACUUUCAAUUGGGAGGAAAACCUGCCGGUCAAUACCCGGCAGCUUGACAUUACCUUUAGAAGAAGCACCGGCUAACUCCGUGCCAGCAGCCGCGGUAAUACGGAGGGUGCGAGCGUUAAUCGGAAUUACUGGGCGUAAAGCGUGCGUAGGCGGUUCGUUAAGUCAGAUGUGAAAGCCCCGGGCUUAACCUGGGAACUGCAUUUGAAACUGGCGGACUAGAGUUGAGUAGAGGGGAGUGGAAUUUCAUGUGUAGCGGUGAAAUGCGUAGAUAUCUGAAGGAACACCAGUGGCGAAGGCGACUCCCUGGACUCAAACUGACGCUGAGGUACGAAAGCGUGGGUAGCAAACAGGAUUAGAUACCCUGGUAGUCCACGCCGUAAACGAUGUCAACUAGCCGUUGGUCCUAUUUACAGGAUUAGUGGCGCAGCUAACGCAUUAAGUUGACCGCCUGGGGAGUACGGCCGCAAGGUUAAACUCAAA